CACGUAGGGGGCAAGCGUUGUCCGGAUUUAUUGGGCGUAAAGAGCUCGUAGGCGGCUUUGUCAGUCGGGUGUGAAACCUCCAGGCUCAACCUGGAGCCGCCACCCGAUACUGCCAAGCUAGAGUGCCGGAGGGGAGAGUGGAAUUCCUGGUGUAGCGGUGAAAUGCGUAGAUAUCAGGAGGAAUACCGGUGGCGAAAGCGACUCUCUGGACGGCAACUGACGCUGAGGCACGAAAGCGUGGGGAGCAAACAGG
rnacentral:rRNA from 1 species